AGAGUUUGAUCAUGGCUCAGAUUGAACGCUGGCGGCAGGCCUAACACAUGCAAGUCGAACGGUAACAGGAAACAGCUUGCUGUUUCGCUGACGAGUGGCGGACGGGUGAGUAAUGUCUGGGAAACUGCCUGAUGGAGGGGGAUAACUACUGGAAACGGUAGCUAAUACCGCAUAACGUCGCAAGACCAAAGAGGGGGACCUUCGGGCCUCUUGCCAUCAGAUGUGCCCAGAUGGGAUUAGCUAGUAGGUGGGGUAACGGCUCACCUAGGCGACGAUCCCUAGCUGGUCUGAGAGGAUGACCAGCCACACUGGAACUGAGACACGGUCCAGACUCCUACGGGAGGCAGCAGUGGGGAAUAUUGCACAAUGGGCGCAAGCCUGAUGCAGCCAUGCCGCGUGUAUGAAGAAGGCCUUCGGGUUGUAAAGUACUUUCAGCGGGGAGGAAGGGAGUAAAGUUUAUACCUUUGCUCAUUGACGUUACCCGCAGAAGAAGCACCGGCUAACUCCGUGCCAGCAGCCGCGGUAAUACGGAGGGUGCAAGCGUUAAUCGGAAUUACUGGGCGUAAAGCGCACGCAGGCGGUUUGUUAAGUCAGAUGUGAAAUCCCCGGGCUCAACCUGGGAACUGCAUCUGAUACUGGCAAGCUUGAGUCUCGUAGAGGGGGGUAGAAUUCCAGGUGUAGCGGUGAAAUGCGUAGAGAUCUGGAGGAAUACCGGUGGCGAAGGCGGCCCCCUGGACGAAGACUGACGCUCAGGUGCGAAAGCGUGGGGAGCAAACAGGAUUAGAUACCCUGGUAGUCCACGCCGUAAACGAUGUCGACUUGGAGGUUGUGCCCUUGAGGCGUGGCUUCCGGAGCUAACGCGUUAAGUCGACCGCCUGGGGAGUACGGCCGCAAGGUUAAAACUCAAAUGAAUUGACGGGGGCCCGCACAAGCGGUGGAGCAUGUGGUUUAAUUCGAUGCAACGCGAAGAACCUUACCUGGUCUUGACAUCCACGGAAGUUUUCAGAGAUGAGAAUGUGCCUUCGGGAACCGUGAGACAGGUGCUGCAUGGCUGUCGUCAGCUCUGUUGUGAAAUGUUGGGUUAAGUCCCGCAACGAGCGCAACCCUUAUCCUUUGUUGCCAGCGGUCCGGCCGGGAACUCAAAGGAGACUGCCAGUGAUAAACUGGAGGAAGGUGGGGAUGACGUCAAGUCAUCAUGGCCCUUACGACCAGGGCUACACACGUGCUACAAUGGCGCAUACAAAGAGAAGCGACCUCGCGAGAGCAAGCGGACCUCAUAAAGUGCGUCGUAGUCCGGAUUGGAGUCUGCAACUCGACUCCAUGAAGUCGGAAUCGCUAGUAAUCGUGGAUCAGAAUGCCACGGUGAAUACGUUCCCGGGCCUUGUACACACCGCCCGUCACACCAUGGGAGUGGGUUGCAAAAGAAGUAGGUAGCUUAACCUUCGGGAGGGCGCUUACCACUUUGUGAUUCAUGACUGGGGUGAAGUCGUAACAAGGUAACCGUAGGGGAACCUGCGGUUG
rnacentral:rRNA from 1 species